rnacentral:rRNA from 1 species
UUCCUACGGGACGCAGCAGUGGGGAAUAUUGGACAAUGGGGGGAACCCUGAUCCAGCGACGCCGCGUGAGUGAAGAAGUAUUUCGGUAUGUAAAGCUCUAUCAGCAGGGAAGAAAAAAAUGACGGUACCUGAGUAAGAAGCACCGGCUAAAUACGUGCCAGCAGCCGCGGUAAUACGUAUGGUGCAAGCGUUAUCCGGAUUUACUGGGUGUAAAGGGAGCGUAGGCGGCGCGUUAAGUCUGAAGUGAAAGCCCGCGGCUCAACCGCGGAAUGGCUUUGGAAACUUUUUUGCUGGAGUACCGGAGG